rnacentral:rRNA from 1 species
GACAGAGGUCCCAAGCGUUAGGCGGAAUCACUGGGCUUAAAGCGUGUGUAGGCGGCUUGGUAAGUCGGAUGUGAAAUCCCGAGGCUCAACCUCGGGUCUGCAUCCGAUACUGCCCGGCUAGAGGUAGGUAGGGGAGAUCGGAAUUCCUGGUGUAGCGGUGAAAUGCGCAGAUAUCAGGAGGAACACCGGUGGCGAAGGCGGAUCUCUGGGCCUUACCUGACGCUCAGGCGCGAAAGCUAGGGGAGCGAACUGG